ACUCCUACGGGAGGCAGCAGUAGGGAAUCUUCCACAAUGGGCGCAAGCCUGAUGGAGCAACACCGCGUGAGUGAAGAAGGGUUUCGGCUCGUAAAGCUCUGUUGUUAAAGAAGAGCACGUAUGAGAGUAACUGUUCAUACGUUGACGGUAUUUAACCAGAAAGUCACGGCUAACUACGUGCCAGCAGCCGCGGUAAUACGUAGGUGGCAAGCGUUAUCCGGAUUUAUUGGGCGUAAAGAGAGUGCAGGCGGUUUUCUAAGUCUGAUGUGAAAGCCUUCGGCUUAACCGGAGAAGUGCAUCGGAAACUGGAUAACUUGAGUGCAGAAGAGGGUAGUGGAACUCCAUGUGUAGCGGUGGAAUGCGUAGAUAUAUGGAAGAACACCAGUGGCGAAGGCGGCUACCUGGUCUGCAACUGACGCUGAGACUCGAAAGCAUGGGUAGCGAACAGGAUUAGAUACCCUGGUAGGAUAGCG
rnacentral:rRNA from 1 species